rnacentral:lncRNA from 1 species
UUGCUUCCCUGUUGAAGUGAAGAUAUAAAUGUUCCAUUCUGACCCACCUUUGAAAAACAAUUACUUUGCCCCAUGGAUUCUUUGUUCAAUUAGAAAUUUCCCCGGGGCAGGUGACCCAUAGUCUUAAAGAACAGGCUAAACACCACAGAGAGAUUGGUUGCUUUUUGCUUUUCAUCACCUGCAAGAUGUACAUAAAAAUCACAUAAGCUGGAAUUCAACAAAAGAAUCUUUCCAGUCUUUAGUCAGAGAAAGAGAUGUGACGAUGGUAGCAGACUCAGACACGUGCUUCAUCACUGGCUUUGAAGAAGGAAGAAGAAGGCUGCAGGCCAAGGAAUGCGGCUACCCUCUAGAAGCUGCAAAGGCAAGAAUGGUUUCUCCUCUAGAGCCUCCAGAAAAAGCCCAGGCUAGCUGACACCUUGAUUUUAGUCCAAUGAAAACUGUGUCAGGUGUCUGACUUCCAGAACUGUAAGAUAACAAAUUUUGUUGUUUUAACCCACUAAGUUUGUGGUACUUUGUUAUAGCAGUAAUAGAAAACUAAUACAGUUUUGUUGUUAAACUAUACAAGAUUUAAAAAAUAUAUUGUUAACAUGCAAAAAUAAAAAUAAAAAAAUUUACAAAAUUCAUGACCUCUGAAACGAUGUCUCUGGAUAUUCCAACAGUCCUUGGUUCUGAGAGUGAGAGACACCACUGUAUUUAAAUAUUUAAGGAGAUGCCAAGCACGGUGGCUUACGCCUGUAAUCCCAGCACUUUGGGAGGCCGAGGCAGGGGAAUUGCUUGAGUCCAGGAGUUGGAGACAAACCUGGGCAACAUAGAGAGACCUCGCCUAUAAAAAAUAAAAAAUUAGCUGGGUGUGGUGGUACGUGCCUGUAGUCCCUCUACUCGGGAGGCUGAGGUGGGAGGAUCGCUUGAACCCAGGAGGCUGAGGCUGCAGUGAG